GUGGAAGGAAGGGGGCCUCCCCUGAGACUGAGAUGGCGCUCGCCCGUCCGCCGGGGGGCCAGCGGCUGAGUCACCUGCGCAGCAUAGGCUCCUGGGCUCCGGUCCCCGGCGUCAGUCCGGUUAUCCACUUUUCCAAGGCCGUCACCCUCUUCGGCCGUAACACCCGGGUAGCGGACUACCACCUCAACUUGCCUGCCACAGACCUCAAUUACAUCUCCCGUAUCCACGCGCGGAUAAUCCGGACAGACGGCGAAUACAUUCUGGUGGAUUCCAGCCUGACGGGCGUGUAUGUCAACGACAUCCGCAUCGAAGGCGAAGUAAAUUUGCGCGAAGGAGAUACAGUCACUUUUGGCCAUCCUGAUGGGAAAAACGUCCUCCUGGGAAGCCACACACGGCAGCCAAAUUCUCCCUUUUAUUUCCUGUUUGAGCAUUGCGAUUGCUCUCCUGGCCGGAUGCAGAGCGCUUAUGCAGACGGGAGAAAUUUCCCCCAACCGUUGAAAGGUCCCGACUUGGUUUCUGCAGGAGUUUCACCUCCAGGCAACCCGAACUUGGCACUUGCGGGCAACGUUUCUCCUCCUCAGAUGGCACUAGCAGGGGUGCUGCCAGGCCAGGCCCCUCUGGCAAGCUCUGUCACACAGCAUGGCCCCCAGGAUGCUCUGGCCCCACCACCAAACCCAGCGCUUUCCGCCUCUUCCCCACUUACGGCUGAGAAGGCAUCCGAGAAAAGCAGCUUUCCUUCCUCACCUCGUCCUCCAUUAAGUGCUCCGUGCAGACGGGCCUCCCAGGUUCUCCGUUCCGCUUCACCAGAUUACACACUUCCCGACGAGAACUCUUUUGCGGCCACUGGGUCUCCUCCGGAAAGUCCAGAAUCCGGCGACUCCGUUUCUCGCAGCAGCAGCAGCAGUGAGAGUACCGUGGAGUGUGACACGCCUCCUCCACAAGGGUUGCCUCCACACGAGGCUGCCGGAAGUGAUCCC
rnacentral:lncRNA from 1 species